UAUCAGUCAAAUUUUUCCCCAAAACCUUAGUUUUCUGUUUAUUUAAUUUAAAUCCCGCCACCCGACCAAAAUCAUUAAUCAAUUGUAAUACUCUUUUCGUACUGGGCUCUGGCUUCUGCAAGGUCAAAACCAGGUCAUCUGCAAAAGCUUUUAGUUUAUAUUGUUUCUGACCAACCUGAAUUCCUUCAACCAACCGAUCCCCUCUAAUCAUGUUCAGUAGCACUUCCAGAACCGAAAUAAAUAGCAAAGGGGAAAUAGGGCAACCUUGUCGUGUCCCUUUUUCAAUUUUGAACUCUUCUGUAACCACAUUAUUAACUAUCAGUUUAGCUUUCUGUUCUGAAUAUAUCGCCUCAAUCCCAUUCUCAAAACCCCGUCCCACUCCCAUCUCUUUUAAAUUUCCCAUCAUAAAUUUCCAAGAAAUAUUGUCAAAGGCCUUCUCCGCAUCUAUGAAAAUUAAAACUGCUUUUGUAUUUAUAUCUGUUUGCAGAAGUUCCAAGAUGUCAAUAAUGUUCCUUGUGUUAGCAAACAGAUGUCUGCCUGGGAGAAAACCGGCCUGGUCCUUAUGAAUUACUUCAUUUAAUACUUUUUAAAUCUACUUGCCAAAAUGUCUGCAAAUAUUUUGUAAUCCACAUUUAAAAGAGAGAUGGGACGGUAGUUCUUCAAUUGUGUCUUUUCAGCUUCUGACUUUGGUAUUAAUGUGAUGAACGCUUCCUUCCACGAAUCCGGUGCCCUCUUCCCCUCAAUAAUUUCAUUGCUGACCUCCAUCAAAGGUUGUAUCAAAUAGUCUUUUAAUGUCUUGUAAUACUUGGAGGUCAGCCCAUCUGGCCCUGGAGAUUUGCCAAGUUGCAUGUUCUGAAUAGCUUGUUCAAUCUCCUGUCGUGUUAUUUUAGAGUUCAGGAUUGUCCUGUUUUCUUGAGACAAUUUAGAUAGUCCAUUUUUGGCAAAAAUUGUUUAAUCUCAACUUCGUCUUGCGGCCCUUGGGUGUAUAAUUUUUAAAAUAUCUCUGGAAACACUUUCUAAUAUCCACUGGAUUCUGAAUGUUUUUUCCAUCAACCUCUAAGUUUGUAACCGUGUUUAAUCUUUGUCUUCUCUUCAACUGCCAAGCUAGCAGUUUUCCACAUUUAUUCGCCGACUCAAACGUUUUUGUUUCAUUAAUUUAACCUUCCAUUCAAUUUCCUGAUUUAUCAAUUUAGAAUAUUGUGUUUGAUAGAGUUUAAUUUCUCUCAGAGUUGGCUGUGACUUUGGAUUCGCUCUUAAUUUCUUCUCUAAUUCUUUUAAUUUGUCCAAGAUCUUAUCUUUUUUCUCAUUUUGUGUUCUUUUCUUUACUACAUUCUGUUGUAUCAAGAAUCCCCUCAUUACAGCUUUGCUUGCGUCCCAGACAAUUCUUUUUCCACCGAAUUGUUCAUGUUUAUCUCAAAAUAGUCCUUCAAAACUUUUUGGGCCUUCUUGGUAAUUUCCUGAUCUCUAAACAAAUUGUCAUUCAUCUUCCAUCUAAAGGAUCCAGUUGGUAGUAGUGUCAUAUCCAUCUUUACUGCAUUAUGGUCAGAGCAGGUCUUUGGGCAGAUUUCCACUUUUCUGACCUUAGGUGCCAGGCCUCUGGAAAUCCAUAUUUGGUCGAUUCUUGUCCAGGUCAGUUGGGCUUCAGAAAAGAAUGUUCCUUCUCUACCUAGUGGGUUCUUUGUCCUCCAAAUGUCAAUCAAAUCCAUAUUGUCAGUCAUUUCAAAAAAGUUUUAGGUAGUCUGCCGUCUUUUGUAACAUUUUGACUUUGUGACUUGUCCAUGUUAGUUGACACGACCCCGUUCAUGUCUCCCAUCAUUAUGAUGUUGUUGUAAUCCAGAUAUUCCAGCAUUGUCCCCUGCAGCUUCUUGUAAAAUUCCGAUUUCCCUUCGUUAGGUGCAUAGAUUCCUAAUAUCAACAGUUUCUCUCCUUGAUAUUGUAUCUCAAUGGCCAAAAUUCUUCCAUGUUCAUCUUUAAAUAAGAAUUUAGGUGACAGGCUCUCUUUUGCAUAUAUCACCACGCCUCUCUUCUUAACUUUGUCCGACGAAACAAAUUCCUGGCCCAAUCUUUUAUUUAUUAACACUUUUCUGUGGAGCCUCGUCACAUGUGUUUCUUGUAAACAGAUAAUGUCCAAUUGUUCUAUUUUUAAUAUAGGAAAUAUUUUCUUCCUUUUUUCCGGAAUAUUACAACCAUUAAUAUUCCAACUCAGCAAUUGCAGAGACAUCCUGGAUCUAUCUGGUUAUUUCUCCAGGGGUGGUGUCUUCUCUGGAUCUUCAAGUUCCCCAGGUGCUGGUGUUGAUACUGGCUUUGCCCCAGGCCCAAGGGGUAAUUCAAUUCCUUUUUGAAGGUCCUCUCCGUAUGUAGCCAAAAAUUUGUCUCUCUCUUCCAAUGUUCUAACUUUGACCUUUCUCCCUUUAAAGGUAAAAGAUAUUCCUUGUGGAAAUUCCCACCUGAAUGGAAUUGCGUUGCUCCUUAGUAGUUUAGCAAGUUCAGAAUAGGCGGCUCUAAGAUCCAGCAGUUGUCUUGGGAUAUCUUUAUAAAUUUCAAUUCUUCUGUCCAAAACCUCCAGUGACUUUCCGUAAUGUAGGCCCAGAAUCUUAUCCCUUUCCUCCUUUGAUCUCAAUGUAAUCAAACAGUCUCUGGGCCUCUCCUUCUUUGUGAAUCUUCCAAGUCUGAAAGCCGACACAAUUUUAAAAUCCUUUUCUUCCAAAUUCCAGAACUUGGAAAAUUCUUUGGUCAAAAACUCAGUUAAAUUUCCUUCUUCUGCCUCUUGUAAUGAUCUAAUCCUCAAAUUAUUCUCACGAUUUCGCAGUUCUAUCAUGGAAAGAUAAGUCUGAUGUUCCCCAACUUGUUUGGUGAGUGGCCUUACCUCUUGCUCUAAAUUUUCCAAUUUUUGUCUGGUAUCCUCAGCCAAUUUCCGAUUUUCUGCUGAGGCCUCCGUUAACUGUCCAAUUGCUUGUGUAUUCUGUACAACUUGUAUGGUUAAUUUAUUUAGACAUUCUGUAUUUUUGUCAAUCUUUGCUGAUUGCGCAUCUACUUUCUUGUCCAAAGCUUCCAAUUUUUCAAAGAUUUUGUCUAGAACAGAAACAGAUACUCCUGAGGCCAUAUCUUCCAAUUGUAACUGCUCUGCUUCACCCUCUCCCUCUUUUGCCUGUGGCAAGGCAACUUCUUCAAGUUCUACUUCUGAGGGCAAAGUAGGUACAGAUGAUCUACGUGUCUGCGAGGCUGAGGUUAGAGUUGUUAAAGUUGUUUGUCUAACUCUCCCUCUUUUCCUUGUGCCACUCAUUCCAACGUUGUCUAUCAGUCAAGGUCACACUGAGUUUUUCCCAUGGGAAUAGAAAGGCCCAGAGCAAGUAAACAACAAGGGAAUCGAAAGUAAAUGUAAAUAUAAAGUCACUGUUUUCAUCCAGUCCUCUAGAGGGAGCUUAAAAUGUCUUUCAGAGUCUAUUAAUGUCCAAGAACCUUCAAAUAUAAAUAUUUAGCAGAGUUUAUAAGUAGUCACUUUGUUACAGACAGUGCUUAUUUAUCUCCAAAAAGAAUGUUUCAAAUUUAAAAAGUCUCAAUACCCUCAGAUUGUUGCAAGUUCCAAUAUACAGUAUCCAAAUCUGCAAUACUGACAGCUCAAUUUCUCAAUGCUCAGGCAGCUCCUGACUCUGGGUUUCACCUUCUAAUUUGUAAUCCAAUAAAGGGGGAAAGUCAAGUGCAAGUUAAAAUUCCAAGUCUUUAGCUUAAAGUCUUUACUUUAAAUUGCAGGUUCAGUAGAUGCUUAGAUCUGUAAAGUUUAAAAUCUCUUCCUUUCAGCCUCCACUCCUCCAACUUAGUUGCUUUUUUCAAGUUCAAUGGCUGCGGAAGACGGACUUCCUGUUUCCACGUCUCUCCGCUUUCAGCCAAGUUCAAGCCAAUUUAAGGUUUUUCAUAUAAAGUCUCUGAUUUCAAGUGAUUCAGUCUUUACUCACGAGUAAGUUGCUUUUCGUCCGAAUCCGUGUUUUAGCAGGAAAAAGGAUCAGCGCUCACCGGCAGCAGCAGCGCGGCUUCACUCCGCAGACUGUGAAGCAGCUCUCAGCGCCGCAACCCCCCUCCACGCUCCGGAGCCCCUUACGAGGUUCCUUCUGCGUUUGGAGGGUCACUUAAGGCGCCCACCGAGCCUCAGGACCCCAAGCUCUUGCUGCCUGGGGUUUUCCGGAGUGGGUCUCCGCUUCGCCGUAGCGGACGACCCGUUUUCUGCGGAGCCUCCUCUCCCGUUCAGAAGAGGACCGCCAUUGCCGUUCGCGCCGCCCCUCGGAAGUCCU